GAUGAACGCUGGCGGCGUGCCUAAUACAUGCAAGUCGAGCGAACAGACGAGGAGCUUGCUCCUCUGACGUUAGCGGCGGACGGGUGAGUAACACGUGGAUAACCUACCUAUAAGACUGGGAUAACUUCGGGAAACCGGAGCUAAUACCGGAUAAUAUAUUGAACCGCAUGGUUCAAUAGUGAAAGACGGUAUUGCUGUCACCUAUAGAUGGACCCGCGCCUCUUUAGCGAUUGGGUAGGGAAAGGCCUAACAAAGCAAUGAUACGUAGCCGACCUGAGAGGGUGAUCGGCCACACUGGAACUGAGACACGGUCCAGACUCCUACGGGAGGCAGCAGUAGGGAAUCUUCCGCAAUGGGCGAAGGCCUGACGGAGAAACGCCGCGUGAGUGAUGAAGGUCUUCGGAUCUUAAAACUCUGUUAUUAGGAAAGAACAAAUGUGUAAGUAACUAUGCACGUCUUGACGGUACCUAAUCAGAAAGCCACGGCUAACUACGUG
rnacentral:rRNA from 1 species